GUUUCUAGGGAGACAUUUGAAAAAUUUGGAAUGAUGUAAAGAAGAUUAGCAUGGUAAGGGAGCAAGGAUGACAUGCAUAAAUUAAAAAAUAGUUCAAUUUUU
rfam:Picea glauca, whole genome shotgun sequence.